GAUGAACGCUGGCGGCGUGCCUAAUACAUGCAAGUCGAGCGAACAGACGAGGAGCUUGCUCCUCUGACGUUAGCGGCGGACGGGUGAGUAACACGUGGAUAACCUACCUAUAAGACUGGGAUAACUUCGGGAAACCGGAGCUAAUACCGGAUAAUAUAUUGAACCGCAUGGUUCAAUAGUGAAAGACGGUUUUGCUGUCACUUAUAGAUGGAUCCGCGCCGCAUUAGCUAGUUGGUAAGGUAACGGCUUACCAAGGCAACGAUGCGUAGCCGACCUGAGAGGGUGAUCGGCCACACGGGAACUGAGGCACGGUCCAGACUCCUACGGGAGGCAGCAGUAGGGAAUCUUCCGCAAUGGGCGAAAGCUUGACGGAGCAACGCCGCGUGAGUGAUGAAGGUCUUCGGAUCGUAAAACUCUGUUAUUAGGGAAGAACAAAUGUGUAAGUAACUAUGCACGUCUUGACGGUACCUAAUCAGAAAGCCACGGCUAACUACGUG
rnacentral:rRNA from 1 species